GACGAACGCUGGCGGCGUGCCUAAUACAUGCAAGUAGAACGCUGAAGAGAGGAGCUUGCUCUUCUUGGAUGAGUUGCGAACGGGUGAGUAACGCGUAGGUAACCUGCCUGGUAGCGGGGGAUAACUACUGGAAACGAUAGCUAAUACCGCAUAAAAUGGAUUAUCGCAUGAUAAUCCAUUGAAAGGUGCAAAUGCAUCACUACCAGGUGGACCUGCGUUGUAUUAGCUAGUUGGUGGGGUAACGGCUCACCAAGGCGACGAUACAUAGCCGACCUGAGAGGGUGAUCGGCCACACUGGGACUGAGACACGGGCCAGACUCCUACGGGAGGCAGCAGUAGGGGAUCUUCGGCAAUAGACGGAAGUCUGACCGAGCAACGCCGCGUGAGUGAAGGAGGUUUUCGGAUCGUAAAACUCUGUUGUAAGGGAAGAACGAGUGUGAGAGUGGAAAGUUCACACUGUGACGGUAUCUUACCAGAAAGGGACGGCUAACUACGUG
rnacentral:rRNA from 1 species